rnacentral:tRNA from 1 species
GCCCACGUGGCGGAAUUGGCAGACGCGCUAGAUUCAGGUUCUAGUCCCAGCAAUGGGGUACAGGUUCGACUCCUGUCGUGGGCACCA